UACAUACACAAAUGUUUUUCAGCGUUUGCAGAUAUAUAUAAUACUACAUACUCAUCCGUACCAUCAUAUCAUUUCCAUUCCAUAGCUAAGGGACUUUGACGCAAACUUUAAUUUAUGUUUGUUAUGCUGCUUAGUCUAGGGAUGGAUAACAAAAGAGACUUUCGUUAUGGAUACGUCACUUGUUAUCAGAGAUACAGUAAACUAUUGGAUUACGAGCUACAUCUCUGCAUAAUAAAAAACUUAUGUAAGCAGUGACCAAUAAUUUGCUUCUAUAUCACAACGGUAUCCCCUACACCAAUGGUUCUCAACUAGUGUGCUACAAAGGCAGUGACACUGGAUUAUUUUACGUGCGCGAACAAUAUCAUGAAAAAAAUGAUAAGUUGCAAUACUUCAUAAUAAUGAUUCCCAUCCCUGUCAUUCUAAUUUUAUACUAACAUAAAAUGCUUUAGUAUUUGCUAGGAAUUGCAGUUAUUAAUUGAUUCAUUUCAGACUUCUUCCUCUCUUCUUUAAACGCUUUUUCGCUUCCAAAUUUAUCUAUUUGGUAGCGGCAGUGUCAUGCAUUGCUUGAAGUGAUUAGGGGACGUCGAACAGACAAACGUUGCAUUAAUAAUAUCUGUAGAAGAUAACUCGCUAAGAAAUCCUCAAUGCUACUCACAAGUUUUUCCAGAAGUGCAACUCACAGUGCAGCUUAUAAAAAAGAAAAUUCACUCUUCAGGUUGGCAACUAUAAAAAACAGAUCACAAAUUUUGGUGUUGGUCAAGGUUAAUAGAAAUACAAAUUAAAUAAAAAUUGGAAACACCGUUACAAUUGAUUAUUGGUUUACUUCACAUGCCUGAACUGACUUUUGAACAAAUAUUUGAAUACUAUGAAACGAAAACAACAGGGCCAAAAUCUUAUACAGCUAUCAAAAGAAGUGUACCAGACGUAGUUUAAUAUUUAUACAAAAGUUUGAGUGGAGAUCAGAGGUACUUUGUCCAGAUUUUUCAGAUUGUAUAAAAGGGGCCACCUGAACUUUUUCUUGAAAAACAUCAUAGAACAGUGCGGAAUGUAAGAUGGAUGACAACUGCUUCUACCCUUUCAAGAUUACAUAUUCAUUCAAAAAUCAAUAUGAAGCUUAAAAGACUUGUUACAAUCAUUUUAAAUGCCUAUGGUCCUACAGUCCUUCAUAUAAAAGAUUCCCUUACACCGAACACGGAUCGAAAACUUUUUAUUUUCAAUAAAUCAAGCAAACCAGUAUCUCAACUCCGAAGAAAGAAAUGUAAUAUCGGCUUCAUUUAAGACAAAUUCCUUCUUUGCACAUCCAGAAAAUAUCUUUUUAUGUGCCUUGUUCGAUUCAAACUUUAACACACGAAAAAAAGCAGUUGACAUCAUCUUAGAAGAUUGUAAAAGAAGACAAAAAAGGUUGAGUGAGACAAUUUUUUUCUCCAAAAGAAUUUCUAAAUUUACGUCCAACCUAUAUUUAAUUAACUUGAAUACAAUUCCUGAAAAUUACAAAGCUGAACCUCAUAUAACAAAUAAUGAAUUAUCAAAAUGUGCUCAAGGUGAAGAUUUAACUCUACCAGAUAUUCCGUGUCAUUCUCAAAACGUUCAAAGAUAUGUAGCAUCAACAACAAAGGAAUCUCAGAAAAUAUAUGAUCAAUAGAAAAGACACAAAAAUGUAAUUGUUGCACAUCACUCAAGAUCAAAAUUGAGUAAUAACUUUCAACAGUCUCCUUUCAUAAAUUAAUUCACUUGGUAUUCAAAGAUUUAAAAACUAAGUAUGUACGAGUAUAUGCCCCUUUGUAUGUUAAAUACUAAUAAAAGU
rnacentral:lncRNA from 1 species